AAUACUGCAAGGGGUUUGCGCUUUCGAUUUAAUUUUAAUUGCAUGUUCCUAGAAGUUCCAGAAACGGAGCCAAAGACACUUUAGUUUUGAGGGGAGAGGGAGAGACUUCAAGUUUCUAUCUUCUUAAAGAAAUAUUUGUUUAAUUUCCUCCUGGAGGAGAAAAAAAAAGUUCAACACUCGAACGUUUCUCACAGUGUAAAAUGUGUAUUUUAAAAUUCUAGCGCUGUCAUAGUGUUUUGUUUCUUAAAAAGGGCAUUUUUUUCUGCCCCUGUCCAAAAUGUCCAGAACGCUGCCAGUUUCUUCCUUGAAACAAUUGUUACUCCGGAGAAAAAUCCAUAAGGAUCAAUUUUAUUCUUCUGUUUCCAGUAUCAGCUGUAUUGCUACAAUGAGACUUUUAUUUGAAAGCAUUUUUUAAUGUAAUUGAAUCACAUACCCAUCUUGAACAAGUCCUGGUCUACAUGAUGGAACAAGUAUUCAGCUAAAUGAUGGAAAGGUGAGACUCAGGAUGAUUCAAAGUUGGAGCCACAUGACUGGGAAACACAGAACGAGGAGCAGAAUGUCUAAAGUUAAGAAGACUGACAGUGCCAACAGGGUUAGCAAUGAAAUAUGUAAAACAACCUGAACUCGGCUAUUGCGCAUGGGAAUGUAAACAGUCCAACUACUUUGCAAAACAAUCUACAAAAGCCAAACUUAUGUCUACUCUGUAUCUCAGAAUGAUGGGUAAUUUUAGAUGCUAACUUUAUUGGGCCACCAUGCCCAAUUAUUAAUUAUAAUUAUUCGAGGUAUUUCUGUGAGUUAGUUUUAAAAUGAAUGGAAUCUAAAUAAAGCAGAUUGUGCUCCGUAACUUGGGUGGUCUCAUCCAAUCAAUUGAAGUCCUAAAUAGAAUGAACAGACCAACUCUU